CUGGAAUAAACGCCCUCACGGGUGCUACCCAGAAACCCUUUGUGAACUUACUUUAUACUGUUGCCUCGGCAUUGGUUGGCCUCCUUCGCGAGGUCCCUCUGUUCUUUAGAACGAGGAGCAGACCGGCCGGUGGCCCCUUUAUAACUCUUGUUAUUUUUUUAGUACUUCUGAGUCAACUAUACAAAAAUGAAUCA
rnacentral:misc_RNA from 1 species